UACGUAGGGUGCAAGCGUUGUCCGGAAUUAUUGGGCGUAAAGAGCUCGUAGGCGGUCUGUCGCGUCUGCUGUGAAAACUCAGGGCUUAACCCUGAGCUUGCAGUGGGUACGGGCAGACUAGAGUGCGGUAGGGGAGACUGGAAUUCCUGGUGUAGCGGUGAAAUGCGCAGAUAUCAGGAGGAACACCGGUGGCGAAGGCGGGUCUCUGGGCAUGUCCUGA
rnacentral:rRNA from 1 species